AUGGACGCUGGCGGCGUGCCUAAUACAUGCAAGUCGAGCGAACGGACGAGAAGCUUGCUUCUCUGAUGUUAGCGGCGGACGGGUGAGUAACACGUGGAUAACCUACCUAUAAGACUGGGAUAACUUCGGGAAACCGGAGCUAAUACCGGAUGAUAUUUUGAACCGCAUGGUUCAAAAGUGAAAGACGGUCUUGCUGUCACUUAUAGAUAGAUCCGCGCUGCAUUAGCUAGUUGGUAAGGUAACGGCUUACCAAGGCAACGAUGCAUAGCCGACCUGAGAGGGUGAUCGGCCACACUGGAACUGAGACACGGUCCAGACUCCUACGGGAGGCAGCAGUAGGGAAUCUUCCGCAAUGGGCGAAAGCCUGACGGAGCAACGCCGCGUGAGUGAUGAAGGUCUUCGGAUCGUAAAACUCUGUUAUUAGGGAAGAACAUAUGUGUAAGUAACUGUGCACAUCUUGACGGUACCUAAUCAGAAAGCCACGGCUAACUACGUG
rnacentral:rRNA from 1 species